GUUGAACGCUGACAGCAUGCUUAACACAUGCAAGUCAACUGUGGCGGACGGGUGAGUAACGCGUAACGAACUUGCCUCACAGAUAGGGUCAACAUUUGGAAACGAAUUCUACUACCUGAUACUGUGAGCGAGCUUUGCGUCCCAUUAGCUAGUUGGAGAGGUAACGGCGCACCAAGGCGAGGAUGGUUAGCCGGCCUGGGAGGGUGAUCGGCCACAAGUGGACUGGGACACGGCCCGUACUCAAACGGGAGGCAGCGGUGGGGACUAUUGGACAACUGGCCAAAGUAUGAACAAGGAAUUCGGUGUGUAAGGUGAAGUUUUCGGGAGGAAAAGUGCUUGCAUAUGGGAAUCAUUACCAACAGAAGAAGUGACGGCUAAAUACGUGCCAGCAGCCGCGGUAAUUC
rnacentral:rRNA from 1 species